rnacentral:piRNA from 1 species
GCAUCGACAAGGUUGUGGAUAUUGG